CGAUCUUAAAUGACACACUCUUUAAAAAGCUUAUUGAUUUCCUUUGCAUAAGACUGUCACAAUCAAAUCCUAGAAAUUGCUGUAGUGUAAGUUGUUUUUAUAUGUAGUGGAUUUAUCCCGUACUGAACCCCCGUGUUUUGACAGACUUUUUAUUUUUAUCCCAUAUUGAGCCUCAUAUUUUCAGUUUGGCAUAGGUCAGCAUAAUAGACUCAACCUGGGUCAUUCUACCCGCAUUGUUAGGGCCUUAUAAGGUUUGAAUUUUGCAGUUCUGGACAGAGCGCACGAUUUCCCCACACGAAUCUGACCACGUGUAUUAAGUUUUGUAAUUGCCUGGUAACUAAAUCUCCAGACGGGGUCCCGGGGUUAGUCACAUUCUAUGCAUGGACGAGGCUCUGUGUAUUGGCCCGAGGGGUGUUGGUGACUGACGGCCUAUGGUGGAUGACCGGAAGAGUUUCCUGUAGUUGAUUACCUGGAUCAGGUGAAGUGGUGAACUGGUGGACACGGUAGACACGGUGGAUACAAUGGACGAUGAUUCAGGGUAGCAUGGUGA